rnacentral:snRNA from 1 species
GUACUGAGUAUAGCAGCGCAGAUACUCAAAUUAGAACAGUCCAGAAAAGCGCCCCUGUGCAAAGAUGGCAUGCCAAUGUAUGAAGCAUUCCUUAUUUUU